rnacentral:rRNA from 1 species
AUUGAACGCUGGCGGCAGGCCUAACACAUGCAAGUCGAACGAGUGGCGGACGGGUGAGUAAUGUCUGGGAAACUGCCUGAUGGAGGGGGAUAACUACUGGAAACGGUAGCUAAUACCGCAUACCAUCGGAUGUGCCGAGAUGGGAUUAGCUAGUUGGUGGGGUAAAGGCUCACCUAGGAGACGAUCCCUAGAUGGUCUGAGAGGAUGACCAGCCAAACGGGAACUGAGGAACGGUCCAGACUCCUACGAGAGGAAGGAGUGGGGAAUAUUGCACAAUGGGAGCAUGCCUGAUACAGCCAUGCCGCUUGUGUGAGGAGGGCCUUCAGGUUUUAAAGCUCUUUCAGCGAGGAGGCGUUACUCGCAGAAGAAGCACCGGCUAACUCCGUGCCAGCAGCCGCGGUAAUAC